UAGGGAAUAUUAGUAAUGGGCGAAAGCCUGAACUAGCAACGCCGCGUGUGCGAAGAAGGCCUUCGGGUCGUAAAGCACUUUUUGAGAGGAUGAGGAAGGACGGUACUCUCAGAAUAAAUCUCGGCUAACUACGUGCCAGCAGCCGCGGUAACACGUAGGAGGCAAACGUUAUCCGGAUUUACUGGGCGUAAAGCGCGUGUAGGUGGUUUGGUAAGUAGGGCGUGAAGGCUCCUGGCUCAACUGGGAGAGGACGUUCUAAACUGCCAAGCUUGAGGAUGGUAGAGGGAGGUGGAGUUCCGGGUGUAGCGGUGGAAUGCGCAGAUAUCCGGAGGAACACCAGUGGCGAAGGCGGCCUCCUGGACCACUCCUGACACUCAGACGCGAAAGCUAGGGUAGCAAACGG
rnacentral:rRNA from 1 species